AACCUCUUGAUGCUGCCCUACCUAGAUCCAUGACUCUAGCUUUCACAGGCUUGCUAGGGUGUGAGGUGUUCCUUCUCACUUACCAAAUCUAGGACUGCCAGGGGUUAGCGGGUUGGGUCUAAAGAUCUAGGACCUUGGAUCAGCCUGAGUAGCUGAUGCUUUCCUUAGUGAUGGAGAAGGGCUGGAGAAGCAGCAGGAGGUGCCUGAGCAGGCCAGGGCUGGUCUUUCCUGUUUCCCUGAUGGGAUACUGCUCAAGGCGGCUUAUUCUGGGUCAUCUCGUUUCUGGAGAGGUGGAGACAAGAACAAGAGGCUGUCCGAGGGCAUGGUUAUCCCUUAUUGUAGUGUUGAGAUUCUUCUGGGGGGCUGCCAGGAACUUCAGCCAUGAUUCUAAGUCAGUGGAACUGGUUUAGCAUGUGUCCUGUCUCUUACACUCUUGGGUCUCUGGAAUGGGAGCCAGUUCUGGAAUCCACUCCAUGGAAGGGGCGGUUCCCAUUAGAGUCCAGCCCCUUCCUGGUCCAGGGCUUCAAAUACCUGUGGGUGCUUUGGAAUCAGAGCUACUCUAGAUCCAAGACUAAGUUCACCUUGGGCUACAUGAGGCCCCCAUUCUGAACUGAAUCACACUGACUCGGGACCUUUGAGUUUUUGAUACCACCUUCUUCAUAGCCCAGGUAAGUCUAGGGGCUGGACUGGGCUGUGCUGGAGGCUGGGUGGGAAUAGAAUCCAUCUAUCCUUGCAAAGAGAGAUCAUCACCCCCCACCCCCAUACUACACACUGAAAAAACAUGGGGAGUGUAGGGACACAGGCCAAUAUGGAUACCAGACCUAAUUGGAUAUUGCUAUGGUAUGGGUUUGUGUUAUUCUUGGGACAUUCCUGUCCCUAGGCUUUCUGCUUUGCCAUGGGUUGGCCCUGGGCUUUGCUGACAGCACUUUGGGCACUGGGGGCCAUGGGGGCCACAGCACUGCGCAUUGGAGCCUUCAAUAUUCAGAGCUUUGGUGACAACAAAGUGUCAGAUCCAGACUGCGGCAGUGUCAUAGCCCAGAUCCUGGCUGGCUAUGAUAUUGCCCUGGUGCAGGAGGUGCGAGAUCCAGACCUGAGUGCAGUGUCUUUGCUCAUGGAGCAAAUUAACAGAGUGUCCAAGCACGACUACAGUUUUGUGAGCAGCAAGCCACUUGGACGUGACCAAUAUAAGGAAAUGUAUCUGUUUGUCUACAGGAAAGAUGCUGUGUCGGUUGUAAGCACAUACCAGUAUCCAGAUCCAGAGGAUGCCUUCAGCCGGGAGCCUUUUGUGGUCAAAUUUUCAGUUCCUAGUUCUGCUGCCCGGGAGCUAGUGCUGAUCCCCCUGCAUGCAGCACCACACCAGGCAGCAGCAGAGAUCGAUGCCCUCUACGAUGUGUACCUUGAUGUCAUUGACAAGUGGAACACUGAUGACAUGGUGUUUCUGGGUGACUUUAAUGCUGAUUGCAAGUAUGUAAAGGCACAUGACUGGGUAUCAAUCCGCCUGCGCAGUAGUGAGGUGUUUAAAUGGCUCAUUCCAGACACUGCGGACACCACAGUGGGCAACUCAGACUGUGCCUACGACCGGAUUGUAGUGAGUGGUGCUCACCUGCGUAAGAGCCUGAAGGCCCAGUCAGCCUCUGUUCACAACUUUCAGGAGGAAUUUGGCCUAGAUCAGACCCAGGCUCUUGCCAUCAGUGACCAUUUUCCUGUGGAAGUGACCUUCAAGUCUCACUGACAGCUAUGGCCUAGCCAGGAUAUGCCACCUGCAGACUCUGGCCUCAUGGAAUGGCCCCACAAUGGAUCACUGGGUGGCGGGCCACCCACCAUUCAGGGUUCCUCUUACAGUUGUCUACUCUUUCUAAAUGAAAAUAUGUGGCCACAGGAUUUUUUUCUGGAGAUCCUGGAGGGCGACAGAGAUGGUCUGGUCUUAAAGGUUCCAAAAAGACAUCCAGUAAAGGCCAGGGACAAGUCAACCUGCAGAUGGUUCACAAGAUGGACAUGCAGCGUGGCCUUGUAAGAUUCAGAGGGACUUUUGUGCUCACCAAGCAAAAAGGUUCUUGUGGUUGGGGCUGUAAACCCUAGGCUUCAAGGAACUGCUUUUGAAUAAGCCAGAGGUCAAGGAAGUACUAUCUUGUUUUGAGACAAAGUGUCUCACUGGCACUCACUAAUUAGGCUAGACUGGCUGGCCAGAGGAUCCCAGAGACCUGCCUGUUCCUGUCUAUCCAGUACUAGAUUACAAGCGCAUCCACUAUGUCUUGCUUUUACCAAGCUCUCAGGAUAGUUGGUGAGACCUUACUGACAGACCUAUCCCCCCAGCUAACAGAACUGUUAAAAAAAAUUGUGUGUGUGUAUAUAAAAGUGAAUGUGUCUGGGUAUUUUGCCUGCAUGUGUGUAUGUACACCAUGUGCAUACAGAGCACAGAAGGCAUUGGAUUCCUGGGACUGGAGUUACAGAUGAUUAUGAGCCACAUAUCAGUGCUGGAAUUUGAAUCUGGGUUCUGUACAAGAGCAGCCAGUGGUCUUAACCCCAGAGCCACCUCUACAUCCAGGAACAGGACAUUUUAAGGUCAAGAACACAAGAGCUAAGUUUUAAGUUGAAAAACACCUUGUAUAUGACCCUUGGGCUGAGUGGGUCCCCAGAAGGCACGUGUGACUGAACGCCUGUGGCAGCCGUGCUUUAGCCCCUCUUUUGCUUGAGCUUCUCCAAGUACACGUGCAGGGACUUCUGGAUAGAGUCUCGGGAAAUGAAGCUGACGAAAUUCUGGAUGUCAGCUUCCCGCUGCUUGAGCAGGUUGUCUGCGGUGGCCUUUCGCAUCAUGCUCUUGGUCAGCUGUCGAGAGUGGUCUGAAGAAAAUGGGGUUACUCGUGACACUCACCUUCAGAGACUGUGGGGCUAGUCCUGGCUGUGCUACACUUCAAGUAUUGAAAUAUACUCUCCUAGAGAGUUCAGAAAAUCACAAAGAAAGCUGUGUGUCUUAGCAUUUGGGUAGCUAAGGUGGAACAGGGGGUUCAAGGCCAGCCUGAAAUGAACUAAAUAGCCCCACAUAAAUAAAAUGUAGGAGCAGACAGGAGGGUACUGCAAGAGUUUUUGUUAUUGCCGUUGCUGAGACAGCUCUGUAGCCCAGGAUGGUCUUUAACUUGUAGGUCUUCUUUUUGGAGAUAGGAUUACAGGCACAUGCCACUAUGCCUGCCUCUUAAUUUGCUUGCUAUUUAAUGUCAUUUUUAGGGCUGGGCACACAGGUCAGUGAUAGAACACAUGCACAAGAUCUUGAGUUCCAUUUCCAGCACCUCAAAUAACCAACAUGCCAUUUUCUUUGAAUUGUAAUACUGGCCACAUUUUCCAUUAUCAGUAGAUUCUUUCUUGUGCAUGUAGGGACUUACUACUUGCUCCCUAAGAGAAGAGGGCUCCUUUUAGAGCAAUUAAAAAGGAUACUUUGUGACA